GACGACGCUGGCGGCGUGCCUAACACAUGCAAGUCGAGCGGAGUCGAUCGACGGAAGGCCUUCGGGCGGAAGAUGGUUGACUUAGCGGCGGAUGGGUGAGUAACGCGUGGGCAACCUGCCUCGAAAGACCGGGAUAACAGCCCGAAAGGGCUGCUAAUACCGGAUGUGGUCAAGGAUCCGCAUGGAUUUUUGAUUAAAGGGGAAACCCGUUUCGAGAUGGGCCCGCGUCCUAUCAGCUAGUUGGUGAGGUAAAAGCUCACCAAGGCGACGACGGGUAGCCGGCCUGAGAGGGUGACCGGCCACACUGGAACUGAGACACGGUCCAGACUCCUACGGGGGGGCAGCAGUGGGGAAUCUUCCACAAUGGGCGAAAGCCUGAUGGAGCGACGCCGCGUGAGCGAAGAAGGCCUUCGGGUUGUAAAAGCUCUGUCUGGAGGGACGAAGGAAGUGACGGUACCUCCGGAGGAAGCCACGGCUAACUACGUG
rnacentral:rRNA from 1 species